GCAGCGCGGGGCAACCUGGCGGCGAGUGGCGAACGGGUGAGUAAUACAUCGGAACGUACCCAGAAGUGGGGGAUAACGUAGCGAAAGUUACGCUAAUACCGCAUACGUUCUACGGAAGAAAGUGGGGGAUCUUCGGACCUCAUGCUUUUGGAGCGGCCGAUGUCUGAUUAGCUAGUUGGUAGGGUAAAGGCCUACCAAGGCGACGAUCAGUAGCUGGUCUGAGAGGACGACCAGCCACACUGGGACUGAGACACGGCCCAGGCUCCUACGGGAGGCAGCAGUGGGGAAUUUUGGACAAUGGGCGCAAGCCUGAUCCAGCAAUGCCGCGUGAGUGAAGAAGGCCUUCGGGUUGUAAAGCUCUUUUGUCAGGGAAGAAACGGCCGGGGUUAAUACCUCUGGCUAAUGACGGUACCUGAAGAAUAAGCACCGGCUAACUACGUGCCAGCAGCCGCGGUAAUACGUAGGGUGCAAGCGUUAAUCGGAAUUACUGGGCGUAAAGCGUGCGCAGGCGGUUUUGUAAGUCUGACGUGAAAUCCCCGGGCUCAACCUGGGAAUUGCGUUGGAGACUGCAAGGCUG
rnacentral:rRNA from 1 species